rnacentral:rRNA from 1 species
CACGUAGGGUGCGAGCGUUGCUCGGAAUUAUUGGGCGUAAAGCGCACGUAGGCGGUUUGUUAAGUCGGAUGUGAAAUCCCUCGGCUCAACUGAGGAAGUGCAUCCGAAACUGGCAGGCUUGAGUACUAAAGAGGGUCGCGGAAUUCCCGGUGUAGAGGUGAAAUUCGUAGAUAUCGGGAGGAACACCGGUGGCGAAGGCGGCGACCUGGGUAGAUACUGACGCUGAGGUGCGAAAGCGUGGGGAGCAAACAGG